rnacentral:rRNA from 1 species
CGAACGGGUGCGUAACACGUGGACAACAUUCCGGGAAGCGGGGGAUAGCCCAGGGAAACUUGGAUUAAUACCGCAUGUGGACGAGUGAGGCAUCUCACGAAGUCUAAAGGUGGGGACCGUAAGGCCUGCCACUUCCCGAUUGGUCCGCGGCCUAUCAGCUAGUUGGUGAGGUAAAGGCUCACCAAGGCUACGACGGGUAGCUGGUCUUAGAGGACGACCAGCCACACUGGGACUGAGACACGGCCCAGACACCUACGGGUGGCAGCAGUCGAGAAUCUUUCACAAUGGGGGAAACCCUGAUGGAGCGACGCCGCGUGGAGGAUAAGGUCUUCGGAUUGUAAACUCCUGUCAUGCGAGAGCAAGGUUGUUUAGUUAAUAGUUAGGCAACUUGAUAGUACCGCAAGAGGAAGAGACGGCUAACUCUGUGCCAGCAGCCGCGGUAAUACAGAGGUCUCAAGCGUUGUUCGGAAUCACUGGGCGUAAAGGGUGCGUAGGUGGCGUGGUAAGUCAGAUGUGAAAGCCCAGGGGC